GCACUACAGUUAUAAAUGUAGCAUUGUACAUGUUGUGUGUUAUUAAUUAAGUGGAAGAAUAGAGUUGGGUUCAAAAGUACAGAAGGUAGUUAAUGUUUAAUGUAAUGGUAAAUGUUGUAAAGUGAUAUUAUAGAAAUAUUAAAACAGUGGUUUUAGACAUCAGUAGUUUAAGUAUGCAAAGUUCUCUAAGAUUUCUGACUUAUUUUCCUCUUAUACAGUGUAAGGUACAUUCUACAUAGGAAUUCUGCAGCUUGGGGAAACUCUAAAGAGACGCUACAUGACUAAAUGACACUUGCUUCAGAAGAAAA
rnacentral:lncRNA from 1 species